UACGAAGGGGGCUAGCGUUGCUCGGAAUCACUGGGCGUAAAGGGUGCGUAGGCGGGUCUUUAAGUCAGGGGUGAAAUCCUGGAGCUCAACUCCAGAACUGCCUUUGAUACUGAGGAUCUUGAGUUCGGGAGAGGGGAGUGGAACUGCGAGUGUAGAGGUGAAAUUCGUAGAUAUUCGCAAGAACACCAGUGGCGAAGGCGGCUCACUGGCCCGAUACUGACGCUGAGGCACGAAAGCGUGGGGAGCAAACAGG
rnacentral:rRNA from 1 species